rnacentral:rRNA from 1 species
CGAAGGGGGCGAGCGUUGUUCGGAAUCACUGGGCGUAAAGCGUGCGUAGGCUGUUCGGAAAGUUGGGAGUGAAAGCCCAGGGCUCAACCCUGGAAUUGCUCUCAAAACUACCGGACUUGAAUUUGGGAGAGGAUAGCGGAAUUGUCAGUGUAGCAGUGAAAUGCGUAGAUAUUGACAGGAACACCAGUGGCGCAAGCGGCUAUCUGGACCAACAUUGACGCUGAGGCACGAAAGCGUGGGGAUCAAACAGGAUUAGAUACCCUGGUAGUCCACGCCGUAAACGAUGUGUGUUUGUCGCCGGGGGGUCACCCUUCGGUGACGAAGCUAACGCGUUAAGCACGCCGCCUGGGAAGUACGGCCGCAAGGUUA